rnacentral:rRNA from 1 species
UUGGAGGGCAAGUCUGGUGCCAGCAGCCGCGGUAAUUCCAGCUCCAAUAGCGUAUAUUAAAGUUGUUGCAGUUAAAAAGCUCGUAGUUGAACUUCGGGGUCUACCCAUUGGUCAGGCUUAAUUGUCUGCACUGGUGAGAUGGAUCUCUACCUUCUGAGGAACUUUUAUGCCAUUUAUUUGGUGUGAUGGGAAAUCAGGACUGUUACUUUGAAAAAAUUAGAGUGUUUAAAGCAGACUAUCGUCUGAAUACAUUAGCAUGGAAUAAUGAAAUAGGACGGACUGAUUCUAUUUCGUUGGUUUCUAGGAUCACCGUAAUGAUUAAUAGGGAUAGUUGGGGGCAUUAGUAUUCAAUUGUCAGAGGUGAAAUUCUUGGAUUUAUUGAAGACUAACUACUGCGAAAGCAUUUGCCAAGGAUGUUUUCAUUAAUCAAGAACGAAAGUUAGGGGAUCGAAGACGAUCAGAUACCGUCGUAGUCUUAACCAUAAACUAUGCCGACUAGGGAUCGGACGAAGUUAAUUUUAUAAUGACGCGUUCGGCGCCUUACGAAAAC